rnacentral:lncRNA from 1 species
AUGUCAGUUCCUCUUCAAAUUUCCUCUUCAAAUUUCACCGAUUUCACCAAAUUUCCUCGAUAUUUGACAGUUUACCCCCGGAUGUCAGUUCCUCUUCAAAUUUCACGCUGGACUGAACAUGUAUCAACCGGACCUGUCAUUAAGAAUAAGACCCUCUUAGUCACAGAAACGAUUUUUCAGGACCUCCGCAAAAGAAGCAGGAACGAGUCUUCUGUUUGAUCGUCCGCUUGAAUCACUUUAUACAUGAUUAACCUUUCUGAGGCAGGAUGAUGUUCUGAGUAACUUUCGAGCAAUCCCGUUCAGCUUAUCCUUCGAGGUGAGAGAACGACAUGCCUGAUGGCUCUCAGUUUCUGUAGCGUGUAUUACAGAUCUGCAAAGGGAGCCAUCUGAAAGAGCUGUGAAAUUCAUUUUCAAUUAGAAGACGUGUUUGAUCAUUUCUUCACAGUCCACUUCCCUGCAAAGAGCAUGGAAACCAAGGGAAAGUUACCCAAGUGCGGUGUAGGAAAGGCAUAACUCCUUUCAGAGUCAUGCUUGGGACUUAGAGUUGUGCCCAAGAGCUUACCAGAACUGGACCAAGGAGGACAAAGUAGUGAGGGGUCUGGUUUACCUUCUCCAAAGCCUCAGUUCUACAAAGCACUUGGGCAUGUCUCCUUGAAGUCAAUAGAGCUCAUGUGUUCCUAAAGUUAAACACAAUUACAUGUAGAAUCAGGGCACGAGGGAAACCGAGUUCCUGCUGUCUUGUGUGUCCCCGGGGAGCCGUUGGGUGAAGUUCUCCUUUAGGAGACCUCCUAAUGACCCCCACAUUGCUUGUGCACACACAGUGAACACAGCCAAGCCUCACAAAGGCUGAAUCUUGCCUUCAGAGAGAAGCCAUGUCAGAAUUUACCAACCCGUGAUUCAUGUCCUCUUUUCACAGCCCCGAAUACCCUAAAUGCUUGAGCAGAAUAUCAAACCAGGUCAUUAGCUCCGAGGGAGAGUUAGUGUAUGACUUGUGUUUCUCUUCCAACAUGGACUAUAGCAUUCCACUAAGUGCUUGCUUCUAACUGAGAAGCAACAUUUCAGUAAGUCUUGCUUUUUGUUUAAUAUAUAUAUAUAUUUGAUUUGGGACAAAAACACCCAGAGCCAAAACAAGAAUGAUUCCCCAAGAAGCACAUGGCUGCAAAACAUCUCUUAAUCUUUUGUUUUUCAACAAAGAUGCAAGCAUGGUUUAUAAACAAAGAAAAAAGCUUACCGUCUUAAUCCAGGAAUGUCAGUGUGCCUAAUAUUAUAGGUCUUGUGACUGAUAUAAUUUCAUAACAACAUCCUUAUCCAGAAGAAGGGAAAUUGUGUAUCUACUCCAUGCAUGUACUAAGGCAUUGCAAAAAGUUUAAUCUGCGUAAUGAGUUUGCGAUACUGCAAAUUGUUAAUGGGGCUACAUCGCAAAUGGUUCUCUGCCUUGACAAUCAUGUAUACAUAUCAAUAUUUCUAUCAUAAUGAUAAUUUGAAGGGACAACUACUUGUUUUCCUCCAAUAAAUCCAAUUAAAUCCAUGUUCUGGAGUGUCUU